CAUGCAAUGAUCAGGGCUCUUUAGGAAUUUGAAAUCAAUAGUAACACAGCAGAUAAUGACAUCUGAAAGUGACAGGAACGUUGACUGUUAUCAGGGAACUUGGUAAAUUUUAGACAGGCCAGAAAAUAAAUUCAUUCCAUUCUUGUGGGCUUUUUUCUGUGACUAAACAAAGCAUGUUUUAUUUUUCCAGAUUUGCAGCUCAGGCGUACCUGUGCUGAAGACCUUAAUAACUUUGGGAAAGACCUUUGAACAAUUAUGUGUGGCCUCAGACAAGGUUAUUUCACAGAAACAUCGAUAUAUUUCUUUGAAUUAAUGAAUGCCUUGCUUCAUAAUUCCAAUGGCUCGUAAAUGGAGAUUCCAGGUGUCAGUUGGAAUUGUGUUAGUAUAACUAAGCAAAGAAGAGGAUGAAGUAAUCUGUAGAACCCUGUAAUCCUAGUGUCCUCUGAAAUGCAUGAAAACCACCACAGUAUAAAGAUCUUCCAAAGAGCUGCAGCUGUGAUACAGUAAACAAAGCACCAAGCAAGUUCAGAAUUCUACUUUCUUUUGGUGUAAUAAGCAUCAUUCUUUCAUUUGCAGUCUAUCUGAAGAUAGAAAAGCAGACUCUACUAUUCUUCCUUGAGGAAAUAAAUGGCUAAUCAGAAUUUGUUUUUUAAUUAUUAACAACGCUGCCAAUGAUUAUGAAUUUGAAAGCCAAUUCAGAAAUACUGGAUCUUAUCUGGUAUCAGAUGAACACUACAUGAAUACAUUACAGUGAGUAUCGAAAACUCUGUUUCAAAGGUAUUGAGAGUCAUCAAGACUUUUUACAUAUGUAAAUUGGAAAUCUAGACCUAAAAAUAUAUUAUUCUUUAUUUACACAUACAAGCCAGGCAUUUAGCCACAUACAAGACAGUGAUUUAAAUAAUUUGUUUCUGUAAAUGUGAUGUAUUACAUUUCUCUUGCUUGUGAUUUUUAUUUUUAUUUUAUUUUUGAAUUCUUGGUCAUAUUCCCAUUUCCUUGCACAGAAAGGGUUUGAUAAACAGAUUACAUCUCCCAUUGGAGUUCAGCACAUCUUUAAUUACUACCAGAUCUUGAAAUAUUUUCAGAAGAUUCCCAUUAGAAAGAUCAAGAAUCAUUUCCAUCCCAGUUCUCCAAAGGAAAUUUUGAGCAGACACUCUCACCAGUAGUAACAUUGACACAUUAACUUUCUUCAGCCACCUCGCUCAGACUACUUAGUCUGGCUCCACCAUGGCUGGAAGCCUUAAUCAGAUAUCAUACUAACGAAAGCUAUGUCAGUAAUGAUGUCAGAUGAAUGGUGGUCACAUGGCAACAGUCUCAUUUGAAGCAAACAGUGCCACACUUGUUUUUGGGCUACUUUAUGACUCGGAUGAAAAAUGACUUUGUUCACAACGAAACACCACUAAAGUAUGAGCUGUUACUGUAGGAUUUUAGCACGUCUACUAUUUUCUCAACAUUCUUUUAAUAUACCUAGCUGGACAAAUAGUGUAAAUAUCAUUAAACUACACAUAUUAUCAAGCUCAUCAAUCAGCAUGCAAGCUAAGUAGAUGAAAGCUUGGCAAUCCUUUCUGGCAUUUCAAAUCCUCAAUAAAAUAGAAUGAUGGAAAGUGUAUGAAGGAGAAAAUAUUUUAAUUUUGCCCUCUAAAUUGGCUUAUACCAGAUUUACUCAUUUGUAGAAUAGGGGAACUCAGUCACCUCUCCUGAAAAUGUGUUUUUCCUGUCCCUGAUGGGGAUGGUAGGAGGCUGCACAGAUGCUUGGAGAGCAGGAUAACAAAGCUGAACACAAAAGAGGCAUAUGCUUUCUGGCAUCAUUCACACUGCAACAAAACAGAAGCCUCAGAAUCUCGGCGCAUUUUAUUUAGACUCUUACUCCUCUGGCUUCUGAGGUCUCUUCCUAUUUUCAAUAUGCAUUUAGCAGCAUUUUUACUCCCAGCACACAGAUCGCAGACAAGAAUGAUUCUUUCACUGCAAAACACAUCCUUUUCUCAGGGAACCUAACUUGCCUGGGAAGUGAGUGACAACUUGGAACGUAGCUUCUCUGAAAAUCAAACAUCAUAUGACUGGCCAUUGAGCCAUGCUUAGAGAAGGCAGACAUCAGCAAACUACCAGAGAUUAAGGUAAUGGAGAAAAUUUGCAAGUUGCCACAUCCUGAGGCACACAGCUACAUUUUCCUACAGCUGUUACUCUGACUGCAAUCUCAUGAUCAGCUUAAGAUAAUGGGCUGCCACUGAUGUUGAAGAGUAAAGUCCCCAUGUCCCUGCUGACUGCUCCUCACCUGGCUCCACCACCCCAUCCACAGCAAGUAACAUGGAAGGUUGCAGAAGAAACUGGCACAGGUUUUGCACAGAUGCUUGUGUGACCACUGAGGGUAAGGGUGCCAGGCUGACAGACAAAAUGCCUGAGAAGUAGGGAAAGCAGGACUGCAUCUCUCACUGACAUCAUUGGUUUACAUGUUUUAAAUUCAUCAUGAAGCUGUGUUGUCGGCUUGUAGUGAGAGUCUUAAAUCCAGAUGGGGUCACAGACCUCUCUGCUUGGUCUGUAGCGUCUCUUCCAUUUAAACUUACUAAUCAGGAAGGUGGUUUAAAAAUGUGUUUAUCCAACCAAAGAGCAGGAAUAAUGACAAAGAACAAACUGAAGCUAACAAACCCCAGAAUUUAAAACAUGGAGUGAUCAGAAAAACAAAACAAAACAAAAAAGAAAAAUAGAAAAAAAAAGAAAAAAAAAAGGAAUAUUUCAGUAAAUCUGUAUUAAAGAUGAAUCUGUGGAAAUCAAGAACCCUCAAGAAGAACACAAGAAAAAAUGUUUAGAUACUAGCUAAGAGUUAUUCAAUUAUUCCUAACUGCUAAUAUGAGAACAUGAACUAGGAAUGUCUGCUAUAGAAUAUUUUACUCAUAAGGUAAAAUUAGCAGAAUUUUAACUAGUUCAUAACCCUGGAGCUGUGCCGCCCUAGUCUUUAGAUUAACACAGAAAGUCUGGAAGAGCUAUCUUGAUGCAAGUUUCCAUCACUACAAUAGAUUCUGGACACAAAUUGUGUAUCAUUCAUAUAGUCAGGACUUAAGUGCUGCUAUUAUUUUCUGUUCUUUCUGGCACCACUUAGCAAGUUCCAAAUGAAUGAAUUCUCUAUUCAUAGAUACAUACUGGGGAAAGAAAAAAAAAAAAAAAAAAAAAAAAAAAGCAUACUCCCUGAAUUGAAAAAUAGCUUUUCUUACCUUCCUCUCAGCUCCUCUGAAAUAUAUGAAGUCCUCAGGAAAAUGCACUGAUUUCACAUUUCUGACACAAAUUUGCUGUAUUUUUGUCAGGCAUUCAUUUUUCAUUUACAUUUUACCUGCUUUAUAAAGAUGUGAGCCUUUCUAAAGCCCCAAAUGACCAGUUCUUCCAAGUGUAGAAGGUACUUCAGUGAGAUGUGUGUUGGGACUACUGAUCAUAACAGUAUCCCAAGGCACAAGAUGGCCAAUGGCCCAACAAAAUAGGAGUCCAAGAUAACUUUUGUAGUGAUUUUUUGAGGGGCUGAGAAAAGAACUGUAGAAAUCAGGAAAAAAGAUGAACUAGCAGAAAGAUAGAAGUGAUAUCCUACUUAGAAGAGUUCAAAGAAGUCUUAAGAAGGGAUGAUGACACAACUAUCAUCUGAAAACAGACCAAGACAGUUAAAACAUCCAAACCAUAUAAGCUUUGAAAGGUUGUGAUCCUGUGUGAGACAAGGAAGAUGACUUUCAACUUAUCGAGGUUUGUUUCCUGCUUAUACUCACAGAUGCCUACGGUCAACAGAACACCAAAGACUUUCUAUUUAAAGCUAAA